GACGAACGCUGGCGGCGUGCUUAACACAUGCAAGUCGAACGAUGAAGCCGGAGCUUGCUCUGGUGAAUUAGUGGCGAACGGGUGAGUAACACGUGAGUAACCUGCCCUUGACUCUGGGAUAACUGCGGGAAACUGUAGCUAAUACCGGAUACGACCCUCGGAGGCAUCUCCUGGGGGUGGAAAGAAUUUCGGUCAAGGAUGGACUCGCGGCCUAUCAGCUAGUUGGUGAGGUAAAGGCUCACCAAGGCGACGACGGGUAGCCGGCCGGAGAGGGUGAACGGCCACACUGGGACUGAGACACGGCCCAGACUCCUACGGGAGGCAGCAGUGGGGAAUAUUGCACAAUGGGCGCAAGCCUGAUUCAGCAACGCCGCGUGAGGGAUGACGGCCUUCGGGUUGUAAACCUCUUUUAGCAGGGAAGAAGCGAAAGUGACGGUACCUGCAGAAAAAGCACCGGCUAACUACGUGCCAGCAGCCGCCGUAA
rnacentral:rRNA from 1 species